rnacentral:lncRNA from 10 species
CCUAGGCAACAGAGUGAGAUUCUGUCAAAAAGGAAAGAAAGAGAGAUAGAAAAGAAGGAAGCAAGGAAGGAAGGAAGGAAGGAAAGAAGGAAGGAAGGAAGGAAGGAAGGAAGAGUCUUGACAUACAACCAUAUGUAAUAAAGCCUGAAUAUCAACAGGGAAACCCAAGGCUUUAGGAGAAACAUUGCUUAUGAUAAAAAAUAUUCCUGCUGAAGGAGAAAGGCUGAUACAGUUCCAGAAAAAAAUGUAUAUCUAAACUUUAGGUGAAGUUUUUUUCUGGCUUUGCAGUAAUUACCCCAAUAUCCUCAAUCUUCUCUAAAAGUCUAAGCUGUCCAGUAUUUAUAUUGAUUGUGCUCUAUAGAACCUGGGUUCAUCCUUGGAGCAAUAUAUGAAAGAAAACAGAAAACAGCCACAGGAGCCUGGAGGGACAGAGGAGCUGGUCGCUUUGUGGACCACUGUACACCUGAGAAAGGUGACUCUUGAAAGGAAAAGAGGUUGCUUGACGUACCCUUUGAAGUUCACGGGCACUGCAAAGAAUGCAUUUUUGUAGCUGAUCCAGCUCAAAUGCCCAGAUUCAUCCACAUCUGCAGCUUAUGUCACAGGGCUGGCAGCUAACAGAAACCAUCAGAUCUGCCUUUGUUUUCUUAUCAAAUCAUAUGUGAUAAUGUCACAACCAGUAAGUUGUGUUUUCAGGUAUGUGUUUGUACUGACUUGACAGUGAACCUAAAAAGUGAAAUAAAUAUGAAGAACGAGAAAUUCUAAAUUCUCACCCUUCAGGGGUGUUGGUAUUAUCAAUUUGCCUGUGUUGUCUUUAAACACACACACACACAUACACACACACACACACACACACACACACACAUCUUCUUUAGCUCUGGUGUAUAGAAAAGCAGGACAAAUCCUACAUUGACAAAUUAAUGACAGUAGUAAGCUAAGUCAUUUUAUUUUAUUUUAUUUUAUUUUUCUUUAUUUAUUAUUAUUAUACUUUAAGUUUUAGGGUACAUGUGCACAAUGUGCAGGUUAGUUACAUAUGUAUACAUGUGCCAUGCUGGUGCGCUGCACCCACUAACUCGUCAUCUAGCAUUAGGUACAUCUCCCAGUGCUAUCCCUCCGCCCUCCCCCCACCGCAC